rnacentral:lncRNA from 1 species
UGACAGGUAGCUUGUGGUUUCUUGGACUCUUGCUGUUUCCUAUGGACCAUUGAGAAAUGGCUUUUACCAUUUUGUUUGUUUAUAUAGAACUCACCUUGGUGUUUAUUCUUUUAAGGCUUGUCAGGUUUUUGUUAAUUUUCAAAGUCAUCCUUUUUAAUCAGUUUGUGUACUUAAGUGAGAAUGUUAAAGAUCUCGCUGGCCUUUUAAAGGGUUCAGAUGUGUGACCAGGCAAAAUAAUUCCAUGGACAUGAGCUGUUAUUUAAUGGCGGAGUAUAGCGUUCCUGUCAUCACGUUUUGUUUUGAUUGUUUGAAGGAGUUGUUUGUUUUACUUUUUGCAAGCUCAUUUACUGACAGAUAUUACUACUGUUCACGCUACAGCAAGAUGUGUGGAUCUUUUAAGACUUCAUACGUAUAAAAAUUAUAAUAUACCCUCUGUUAAGCUAUGACUUAACGCAGAGACUUGAUUUGUUUUGGGUUUGAUUCCGGUUUUACCUUGAACAGAAUUUUUUUUUUUCUGAGAAAAUUUGGUUUAAAAAAAAAAACACUAAAGGACAGAGCCCUAAAUAAAAUACUGUUGCCAAGUUAAGCUUUGUGGUGUGGGGUACAGAAGAGUUUAUCUGCUGAAAUAAUCGGACACCUUGGGGAAGGGGAAGUCACGCUGGUCUAGGAAGAGUGUGUGUGUGACCUUUGCCUUUCAUUUCCCCAAUUCCUUUCGGUUCCCCGGCUGACAUCAGCCUUCACCUGAGCAACCCCAGGCCGUGCCCACCUUGAUAGGAACCGAUCACGUGGGUGUAGACAGUUAAGAUUUUUAGACAUUUAAUUUGUAAAUGUUUUCACUGAUAUUUUUAGUUUGAAGAAAACUCCAAUUAGCAAAGUAGUUUAAUUUCAAACUAGUUUGAAAUUUCUCAGUAAUUUCCCCCCAAUUUCAAGGUUACCAACGAGAAGCAAAGAUGUCCUGGAGACAGACUCAUUUAAAGCUGCACCAGCCACUGUGCACCAAGUGUAGUGGAUUUAGCUUUGAAGAUCGGAUUGGUUUGAUUUCUUGUUUUUUUCCCCUGCCCUACUGCCUCCAGAGGAGGUGGCUUUAAAAAGUGCUUCGUAGUGAUGUGUGUGUGUGUGUGUGUGUGUGUGUGUGUGUGUGUGUGUGAGACAGAGACAGUGACAGCGACAGCGAAACCUGGCUGCAUCUGCAGCAGUCCUUGAACUUCAAUGUGUGCUUUGAAAACUUCUUUUCAGCAAUGUUGCUGCCAUUUAGAAAGCGAAAAUGAAACUGCCGUGAUCAAAGCUAAGUUGGUCUCCAAAAGAAACAAAAAGAUUAUUUUGUCUUCGUCCGGGUUAUAUGCAAUUUAUAUAUUUGUAUUCUGCUUUGAAACUGUAACUAGAUAAGUCUGUCUACUAUUUUUAACUUUACAAGAAUAAAACAAAUAUUUUGGUAGC